rnacentral:misc_RNA from 1 species
GAAGCACUCUGAGUUUAUUAGCUACCCAAUCUCUCUCUGGGUUGAGAAGACCAUUGAGAAGGAAAUCUCUGAUGAUGAAGAUGAGGAAGAGAAGAAGGACGAGGAAGGAAAGGUUGAGGAAGUUGAUGAAGAGAAGGAGAAGGAAGAAAAGAAAAAGAAGAAGAUCAAGGAAGUUUCACAUGAGUGGUCGUUAGUGAACAAACAGAAGCCUAUCUGGAUGAGGAAGCCAGAAGAGAUUACGAAGGAAGAGUAUGCUGCUUUCU